rnacentral:lncRNA from 1 species
AUGUUGCGUGGGUGGUAUUGAAGGAAAAAAAUGGCUAAUUUUUGCGGAAAAAUAUGGCCUUAUUACACAGGAGAGUAUAUCAUCUUCCUCAACAUUUGCCUAUUGAAAAAAAAAAUGUAUAUAAGAAAUACAAAAAAUAAAAAAAAGAAUUACAUUGUGCCUACCAAAAAUAUUUUAUGGCUCAAACUAAACUCUGAAACAUCAAAUGGUUGGUGCCAACCAGUUUCCCCACCUGAAGAAUAUGUCGUACCUGAAAAUGUUAUUGACAGUUUUAAAAAUAAAAUGGGCCAUAAUUAAAAUCGCACCCCCCUUUUUCGGUCACUGUGAGCUAUUGCCGUCAUGUUGCAUCUGUCGUCUGCUGCUCCAUAACAUUGUUACAUGUUUCAUUUUAUAUUUUAAUAGCAACAUAGCUAGUAUAAAAAAGAAGAUGUGGUAUGAUUGCCAUUGAGACCAGAGGCGGAUUUAGGGGGGGGGGCACGGGGCCCCCCCUUUUUGGAUGCACUGAAAUAGAUAAACCAACA